UGAACGCUGGCGGCAUGCCUUACACAUGCAAGUCGAACGGCAGCACGGGAGCAAUCCUGGUGGCGAGUGGCGAACGGGUGAGUAAUAUAUCGGAACGUGCCCAGUCGUGGGGGAUAACGCAGCGAAAGCUGUGCUAAUACCGCAUACGAUCUACGGAUGAAAGCGGGGGAUCGCAAGACCUCGCGCGAUUGGAGCGGCCGAUAUCAGAUUAGCUAGUUGGUGAGGUAAAGGCUCACCAAGGCGACGAUCUGUAGCUGGUCUGAGAGGACGACCAGCCACACUGGAACUGAGACACGGUCCAGACUCCUACGGGAGGCAGCAGUGGGGAAUUUUGGACAAUGGGCGCAAGCCUGAUCCAGCAAUGCCGCGUGCAGGAUGAAGGCCUUCGGGUUGUAAACUGCUUUUGUACGGAACGAAACGGCCCUUUCUAAUACAAGGGGCUAAUGACGGUACCGUAAGAAUAAGCACCGGCUAACUACGUGCCAGCAGCCGCGGUAAUACGUAGGGUGCGAGCGUUAUCGGAAUACUGGGCGUAAGCGUGCGCGGCGGUUAUUAAGACAGAUGUGAAUCCCGGGCUCACCUGGGACCUGCUUUGUGACUGUUAGCUAGAGUACGGUAGAGGGGAUGGAUUUCGCGUGUAGUAGUGAAUGCGUAGAUAUGCGGAGGACACCGAUGGCGAAGCAUCCCUGGGCUGUCUGACCUCCUGCCGAAACGUGGGAGCAACAG
rnacentral:rRNA from 1 species